UUUUAUUGCAUUUUAGGAAAAGCUGUUUUUUUGGAAUGGAUCACGAAUUAGACAGCAGUAUAACAAUAUAAUAAAGCUGUAUCUUAUAUGUAGCAUUUGUCAUUGAUUUAAUGUUUAUCUUAGUUGCUAUAACGCUAGGAUAGUAACAGAGAUGGCAGUGCCUAGCAAAACACCAUCCAGGUGAUUGUCUGUUUAUAUUUUUAAAAAGGUAAGGCAUGUAUGGCAGGUAUGGAUAUUAAAUAGAGCUGAGAAUGAGGGGGAAGUUAGUACCACAUUAUGUCUGAACACCCAAAAAUUAAAAGGAUAGUUCAACAUUUUUGGAAAGGCGCUUUUUUUCUUUCUUGCACAGAGUUGGUUGAGAUGAUCGAUGUCAUACCACUCUUACGUCUGUAUGGUAAAUACACAGCUACAACCAGCAGCUGGUUAGUUUAGCUUAGCAUAAAGACUGGAAACUAGGGGAACAGCUAGCCUGGCUAUGUCCAGAGAUAACAGAACCCGCCUAGAACCUAAAGAAGACUAAUUAACAUGCUACUGUAUGUCUUGUUUGAUCGGUACAAAAACCAUAAGUAUAAGAAUUACAAUUCACCAUUUUACAGAGGGGUUAUGUACCGGACUAUUUCUUAGCCUGGACCAGUAGUGGAGAUUCCAGGAAGUUACUGGUCCAAGCCAAGAAAUAGUCCAGCACAUAACCCCCAGUCAAUGUAUACUGCCAUUUCUACGCUCUGGUUUUUGUACAGAUUAAACAAACUAGAAAUAACAAGUUGAUUAGUGAGCUUGAAAGGUGCCGGUUGGUGACUGUGUUGACAGGACAGAGCCAGGAUAGCUGUUUCCCCCUAUGUUUCCAGUCUUUAUGCUAAGCUGACGAUAGCUCCAUAUUCAUCGUGCAAACAUAAGAGUGGUAUCGAUCUUUUCUAGCCAACUCUUGGCAAGAAAGCGAAGAAGCUUAUUUC